AUACGGAGGAUGCAAGCGUUAUCCGGAUUUAUUGGGUUUAAAGGGUGCGUAGGCGGUUUGCUAAGCGGGAGGUGAAAUGCCGGCGCUCAACGUCGGAAGUGCCUCCCGAACUGGUGGACUUGAAUGACUCUGCCGUGGGAGGAAUGUGUAGUGUAGCGGUGAAAUGCUUAGAGAUUACACAGAACACCGAUUGCGAAGGCAUCUCACGAAGGGUUGAUUGACGCUGAGGCACGAAAGCGUGGGGAUCAAACAGGAUUAGAUACCCUGGUAGUCCACGCAGUAAACGAUGAUGGCUAACCGCUGGGCUUAUCAGUUCAGUGGCCAAGCGAAAGCGAUAAGCCAUCCACCUGGGGAGUACGGUCGCAAGGCUGAAACUCAAAUGAAUUGGCGGGG
rnacentral:rRNA from 1 species